rnacentral:rRNA from 1 species
UACGUAGGGUGCAAGCGUUGUCCGGAAUUAUUGGGCGUAAAGAGCUCGUAGGCGGUUUGUCGCGUCUGCUGUGAAAACCCGAGGCUCAACCUCGGGCCUGCAGUGGGUACGGGCAGACUAGAGUGCAGUAGGGGAGAUUGGAAUUCCUGGUGUAGCGGUGAAAUGCGCAGAUAUCAGGAGGAACACCGGUGGGCGAAGGCGGGGUCCUCUGGGCCGUAACUGACGCUGGAGGAGCGAAAAGCAUGGGGAGCGAACAGG